CAGCCGCCGCGGUAAUACGAAGGGUGCAAGCGUUAAUCGGAAUUACUGGGCGUAAAGCGUGCGUAGGCGGUGAGUUAAGUCUGCUGUGAAAUCCCCGGGCUCAACCUGGGAAUGGCAGUGGAUACUGGCUCGCUAGAGUGUGUCAGAGGAUGGUGGAAUUCCCGGUGUAGCGGUGAAAUGCGUAGAGAUCGGGAGGAACACCCGUGGCGAAGGCGGCCAUCUGGACCAGUACUGACGCUGAGGCACGAAAGCGUGGGGAGCAAACAGGAUUAGAUACCCGGGUAGUCCCUGUCUCUUAUAC
rnacentral:rRNA from 1 species